rnacentral:lncRNA from 1 species
UAAACAUUUAGUGUACAUACUUAUAUGGUCUAUAACAAGUUUUAUUAGUAAAUAUAAUUUUGUAUGUAAUAACGCUUUGGAUUGGGAUAAUGUGUAUAUCUUGGCAGCUUUUCCACCACUCACAAUAUGUUCCAAUAAUGAUCUCGACUGAUAAAUUUGAAUUUUCAUCUUCUAAUCCUAUGUACGAUGGUUAAUUCUUAAGCACAAUAUCAAAAUAUGUAUGUAUUACAUACAUAUGUACAUACAACAUACAAACAUAUGUAUGCAUUUUCGUUCCAAAAUUUAUUAAAAUAACGUAAGUCCUACUCAGUUGCUUCUAAUUUUCUUAUGCAUGUAGCGGAUAAAGUUCUACGGCUACUUGAACAAACUCAAGAGUUAAACUUACCGCCCGAAGAAAAAUUUUGUUAUUUUUUUAAUAACCGAAAUUGAAUUUUGUAUGCUUUGGCAGCACUUUUUCGUUGCCAGAAGAAUAUACGUCAAGAUUUAUAAAAUAAAAGGUUAUGACAAGAAGGAAAUCAUAUAUUUAAUGCCGAAGUUGGUUCAAUUUUGUGGGUUUCAAAGAUUUCAAAAUGAAUUUGCAUAAUUUUAUCGCUAAAACAGCGUAAUAUUUUGCCUAUAAAAUUUUAUAGCCAAGCAGUAAAAUUUUUUGAAGUUAAUACCACAAUUAAAAUGUCCUGAGUUGUUUUAUGGUGUACAAGUGAAUUUUAGCGGCUAGCAACUAAAACAUUUGGUGUCAUGCAGUACGAAGGGCAUAUAUAAAGCGAGAUUUUGGUAUAUUUUCUUUUGCUGCUAAAAAGUUUUUGAGAAAUGGAUCAUCUACACGUAUACCUUGUGAAAAAAUCGUGACAAUCGUGAAUUAAAUAAAAAAAAUUGUGUGUGAUUUACAUUUAUUACAUUUUUGUGAAAAAUAAAAUCAAACUGAGAUAUUGUAGAAUAUUUGUUAACUGUCUCAUGUUAUCAUACAUUUUUUCACUGGAUAGGUAGUAAUAUAAUAUAUCUGUAAGAAUGAAGUACUUAAGUAUUAAAUUUGUGUAAAGCUCUUAUUCACAUUUGCAAAAAAAAAAUACGGCGGCCGAGUACUACCGCCUCGACCUUGGUUUGAUUAAAACCCUGCAUAGUAUAUUUUUUUUGCUAAUUUGACCACUGAAUAUAGGAAGAAGUUGGUUCGUUGUCGUCAACGGUUGUCGUAACCUUGUAUUCCACAAACCUUGGAAUAUUCAUAAAUAUUUGCAUUUCUUUCGUUGUUGGGAAGCAAAUUUCCCGGCUUUUGUUUUGACAACCAAAUUUGAAAUAUAUUUUAGUUAUCAAGAAGCAGAAAGUCGGCUCAUAGCACUCCUUAUACGACCCGAGGGAAAAUAGUUGACAGAAACUUUAAAUAAAACAGCAAAGUUGUUUUUUGUCUAAACAAAAAUUUGAUUUAAAAAUUAUAUAAAUAUAAAAAUGAAUAUAUACUCCCUUGUCAAAUGGUGCCAAUUCGUUUAUAAGCUCUAAACAAAUUGCGUUGUUAAGGCGAAAAUGCUGAAUGACAACGCUAUCUUCCAAAUUAAAAGCAUAAUUUUUUGUGGCAAGCUUCGUAACAUGCGCCUUAUUGCACUUUUUUUUAUCUUCAAUGAAUUUAAGGCGUAAAAUAUGCUUAUACAUACAUUUUGGAUUUUAUUUUUUCUGAAAUUAACAACACAAAAACAAACAGCAGAUUUCUUGUCUCCUCCUAUUUCGCGGGUAACAAAACUUACAGCGUGACAGUGAACUCAGAAUACGAAAUGGUAACAAAAUUUACUGAAUGAAUCAUUCUACUUAAGCAUUUUUGGUAGUUAUUUAUUAUACAUAAUUUAUAUAUCUUUAUAUACAUAUUACAAGAGGAAGCAUUUUUAAUGUCAUAUAGCUAUGAAGCCGACUGUGGAAAAUAACUUUAUAUUCUUGUAUCAACGUGUGGAGUAUGCCUCGGAGCUUUCCCACAUAAUUUUCAAAUAGACACGUGUGAUUAUUGUUUACUAACAGAUUUUAGAGUGGAGUUACCCGUUCUAUCAAAAAAAAAUAUAUGAAAAUAACUAAUUAACCGAGCAGUAAUUAGCAGUAAUGGGAUGUAAUAAAAAAAUUCAAAAGUAAAAAUAUUAAACCUUUUUACGUAACCUUGAUAACUAAGAAAUAACUGUCAAUUUAAAAUUGAGUUGGUGCAGGAGAUAACAAACUGAUUAAAUAAAAAUGCAGAGCGUUCACAAAAUUAAUGUCCCCGAGACAAUAACCUGAAAGGGUACACCUGUAGUAUUGUUAAUUUGGUUUGGUUAUUCCAUUCAAUUAACCGCAACUUAGGAAUUUUUGUUCUUUGGUUGUGUGGUGCCAAAUCAUAAUUGCUUGCAUUUCAUUAAUAUGUACAUAGAUAAAAUUUAAUAUUGUUUCGCUAUAGUCAAAAAGUAGUCCCAAACAAUUGGGUCUAGUCGAACGGAAUCCUUCAACAACUUCUCUCAUAGAAUUUGAACGAUUGAUCGAUGACAGUUUCUUAGCGUAACCAUGUGGAACAGGCUACCCAUGUGCUAAGAGUACUUUUUGCUUGAAUUUUUUUU